AAAGAAAUAUACCUUAAAGCUUCUAACUUUAAAAAGAGCAUCUUAUGUUCAUAUUUCUA
rnacentral:tRNA from 1 species